AUGGCCACAUCACAUCAAAACAUUGGUUCCCAUACAAUCACCGAAGUUAAGCAACACCAAGCUUGGUCAGUACCUAGAAUGGGGGGUGACUGCUUGGGAAUACCAGGUACUGUAAG